rnacentral:rRNA from 1 species
GACGAACGCUGGCGGCGUGCCUAAUACAUGCAAGUUGAGCGAUGAAGCUUGGUGCUUGCACCAAUUUGAAGAGCAGCGAACGGGUGAGUAACGCGUGGGGAAUCUGCCUUUGAGCGGGGGACAACAUUUGGAAACGAAUGCUAAUACCGCAUAACAACUUUAAACAUAAGUUUUAAGUUUGAAAGAUGCAAUUGCAUCACUCAAAGAUGAUCCCGCGUUGUAUUAGCUAGUUGGUGAGGUAAAGGCUCACCAAGGCGAUGAUACAUAGCCGACCUGAGAGGGUGAUCGGCCAAAAUGGGACUGAGACAAGGCCCAAAAUGCUACGGGAGGCAGCAGUAGGGAAACAUCGGAAAUGGACGAAAGACUGAACGAGCAACGCCGCGUGAGGGAAGAAGGAUUUCGGAUCGUAAAACUCUGUUGGUAGAGAAGAACGAUGGUGAGAGUGGAAAGCUCAUCAAGUGACGGUAACUACACAGAAAGGGACGGCUAACUACGUG